rnacentral:rRNA from 1 species
UACGGGGGGAGCAAGCGUUGUUCGGAUUUACUGGGCGUAAAGGGCGCGUAGGCGGCCAGUUGCGUCUGCUGUGAAAUCCCGGGGCUCAACCCCGGGCUUGCAGUGGAUACGGGCUGGCUGGAGGCAGGCAGGGGAGAACGGAAUUCCCGGUGUAGCGGUGAAAUGCGCAGAUAUCGGGAGGAACACCGGUGGCGAAGGCGGUUCUCUGGGCCUGUACUGACGCUGAGGAGCGAAAGCGUGGGGAGCGAACAGG